rnacentral:rRNA from 1 species
UACGUAGGGUGCAAGCGUUGUCCGGAAUCAUUGGGCGUAAAGCGCGCGUAGGCGGCUUCGUAAGUCCGUUGUGAAAGUCAAAGGCUCAACCUUUGAAAGCCGAUGGAUGCUGCGGAGCUAGAGUACGGAAGAGGCGCGUGGAAUUGCAGGUGUAGCGGUGAAAUGCGUAGAUAUCUGCAGGAACACCCGUGGCGAAAGCGGCGCGCUGGACCACUACUGACGCUGAGGAACGAAAGCUAGGGGAGCAAACAGG